rnacentral:rRNA from 1 species
CCUACGGGAGGCAUCAGUGAGGAAUAUUGGUCAAUGGACGAGAGUCUGAACCAGCCAAGUAGCGUGAAGGAUGACUGCCCUAUGGGUUGUAAACUUCUUUUAUAUGGGAAUAAAACGUUCCACGUGUGGGAUUUUGUAUGUACCAUAUGAAUAAGGAUCGGCUAACUCCGUGCCAGCAGCCGCGGUAAUACGGAGGAUCCGAGCGUUAUCCGGAUUUAUUGGGUUUAAAGGGAGCGUAGGUGGAUUGUUAAGUCAGUUGUGAAAGUUUGCGGCUCAACCGUAAAAUUGCAGUUGAAACUGGCAGUCUUGAGUACAGUAGAGGUGGGCGGAAUUCGUGGUGUAGCGGUGAAAUGCUUAGAUAUCACGAAGAACUCCGAUUGCGAAGGCAGUUCACUGGACUGCAACUGACACUGAGGCUCGAAAGUGUGGGUAUCAAACAGGAUUAGAUACCCCAGUAGUC